GGAGGGUACAGCCCAGCGGUAGGGUGCGUGCUUAGCAUGCACAAGGUCCUAGGUUCAAUCCCCAGCACCUCCA
rfam:Camelus ferus unplaced genomic scaffold scaffold2578, whole genome shotgun sequence.